UAGGGAAUAUUGCUCAAUGGGGGAAACCCUGAAGCAGCAACGCCGCGUGAGUGAUGAAGGCCUUCGGGUCGUAAAGCUCUGUUGUACGGGAAGAACGUGGAGAUGUCUAAUAGGCAUUUCCAGUGACGGUACCGUAUAAGAAAGGACCGGCUAACUUCGUGCCAGCAGCCGCGGUAAGACGGGGGGUCCUAGCGUUGUUCGGAAUUAUUGGGCGUAAAGCGUGUGCAGGUGGUUUUUUAAGUUGGAUGUGAAAGCCUUGGGCUUAACCCAAGAAGUGCAUUCAAAACUAAAAAACUUGAGUAAGGAAGAGGGUCGUGGAAUUCCUGGUGUAGUGGUGAAAUACGUAGAUAUCAGGAGGAACACCGGUGGCGAAGGCGGCGACCUGGUCCUAUACUGACACUCAGACACGAAAGCGUGGGGAUCAAACAG
rnacentral:rRNA from 1 species